GUUCCCUGGAAAUUGCAGUAGAAGUCCUCAGCUUACUCAACAAUCAGAUAGAGGAGCAUUUGUAUUUCAGAGAUUCCUUUUAAAAGGCUGUUUUUGUUAUUCUAACAUUUCUUUGCUACGGAGUGAGACUGAUUUACUCAAUGUCCAAAAUGUAACUAUGAGCCAACAUGCAGCAGCUCAGAGGGCCCUGGAACCACCAGUACAGCUCCAGUGGCUUCAUUUGCAAGCACCCGGUGGCCAGGGCUCUUUUUCACAUAAACUCACUGUAAAGCUUUCUUUUGGAUGUUCAAACAUACAUGCGGUACAGUUCUGUGCAGGUGAAGAGUUACACUGGACAAUAAACCCUUCUUACCUUUUUAGGCCAAACACUUGCUCCUACUUCAGGAAAGACGGUAGCUCCCCCUGCUGACACAUCGCUCAUCUGGAAAGGUGGCAAAAGGCACAGCUACUUCUGCUUUCUCAUCCUUCCCCAAGAGGAGCACCGAUGAGGGCAGCUCUCCAGCCCCAGACUCAGCCAGCACCACUCAGCAGGAACAGUGAGCCCUGCUGCUGCUCUGCCCUCAGCAUCCUGUGCUCCUCCCUGGCACACACGCUUUUGGAGUGCCAUGAAGAACCCCAUGAGUGGUUCAUUCAGCAGCGUGCUGUACUGCAGCCACAGAGUGCCCAAUGCAGCCAUUCCUGAAGCUUUCAACAGGAGUAAGGUAGGAGUAUGCGAAACGUGAGCGUGUCGUGUGGCUGCAGUAACACCAGCCCCGCGCUGGGUUCAGAAGGGAGCACCUGAUUUAAGGAACAAAACCCCACGCUGGGGGGUAUGAGCGAGCUUUUGUGGUGCCUCUACUUCUGUUGUGUUUUUUGGUUAUUCUCUAAUCACGCAGAGCCCAGCUCCCGUGCCCACUACUUGUGUGUGCUAAAACUUCCAGCAAUCAGUAUUUCAGAAACCAUCCCAAAGCAUUUCCAAACAGAAACUGUUAAAUCACUUGCAAUGCUUUUGAGCAGAGCAGAAAUUCUAAUUAAUAGCUGGUGGCCUGGAUUCACAGCAUAAGGAUAAUUUGAAAGCGUUAAAUCACAAACAAGUGUGCCCAGUAAAUAACCAACUGAAUUCAGCAUAAUUAUUUCCAGCACUCUGAAAUUUAAGCUGGAAGAGAAAUAAGUUGUGAAUUUCAGUCAAAUAAAAGGAGGAUGGUGUGAUGAGAAAAACUAAGUAGCGAAAAAAAG